GACAGAGGGUGCAAACGUUGUUCGGAAUUACUGGGCGUAAAGCGCGUGUAGGCGGCUAAGUAAGUCGGGCGUGAAAUCCCACGGCUCAACCGUGGAAGUGCACUCGAAACUGCAUAGCUAGAGUCCUGGAGAGGAAGGUGGAAUGCUUGGUGUAGAGGUGAAAUUCGUAGAUAUCAAGCGGAACACCGGUGGCGAAAGCGCUCUACUGGACCGCAACUGACACUCAGGGACGAAAGCUAGGGGAGCGAAUGGG
rnacentral:rRNA from 1 species